rnacentral:lncRNA from 1 species
UGAACCUGGGUACAGAACCCAGCUUCUUAAUACACAGCUCACUAGACUAACCCCAACAGAUCUGCUUGGAUAGGGGAAGGAGAGGUGAGACACUGGGUUCUGGAACAUCUCCUCCAACUGCCAAGUAAGCUUCUUAUAGGAAACAUGAUAGGCAAUCUUCACGGGCAGCUGCGAUUUGGAAUCACCUGGGAGACACACCUCUGCAUGUGUCAGUUAAAGUAUUUCAGGUUAAGACCUAACUGAGGUGGGAAGUUCUACCCUACAUGUGGAGAGUGACAUUCCAUGGGCUGGGAUCCUGGGCUGAAUAUAAAGGAGAAAAUGUCCACUUCUCUGUGUCCUGACUAAGGACCAAGUCUGAUCAGCUUCUUCUGUCAUGCUGCUAUGAUAGCUUUCCCUCCACAGAAGUUUCCAUCUUCAAACUGUAGAUCAAAUUGUUUCUUAAAUUGUUUCUAUCAGAUGGUUUGUCACAGCAACUAGAAAAACAAUUAAUCCCGCACCGUUCUCCGUAGUCUAUCUGGUGCCCGAGUUUCCUGUGCAGGAAUCCCUUAAACAAGCUUCCGGAGUAGGAGUGGGGUGACCCGGAAGUAAAGGCUCAGAGAGGCGGCUUGAGGAGAGAAAUGUGAGGUUUCAGGAAGUCAGACACAGCAUAACUAAGACGGUAUCUUAGAGUGUAUUCCUAGCACGCCCGCUGCAGACCAGAAUCUUCCAAACCAGCAGCCAACAAACAGCAAAUACACGGCAGAGUGCAGCUCUCUCAGCACAAAAUGGUAUGUGGACCUGGAAGACGACAGCUUUCUGCAGAGGCAUUUUCAAAUUUCCUUUCCUUUGAGGAGAGAAACUUCUGGAAACAUUGGGACACCACCACUGAGAUUGCUGCACUUCGAGUGUCAUAAGGUUGCCCCUUCUGACCCCAUCUCCAAGAGCAGCUGGCCUGGGUAGGUUCUAUAGCAGUGGGGAUGCAUUAGCAUGUAUGCUGUUCCUGGUUUUCCUACUCUUUCAGACACUGGGAUGCAACCAG